UACGUAGGGUGCGAGCGUUAAUCGGAAUUACUGGGCGUAAAGCGUGCGCAGGCGGUUUUGUAAGCCAGAUGUGAAAUCCCCGGGCUCAACCUGGGAAUGGCAUUUGGGAAUGCAAGGCUCGAGUGCGGCAGAGGAGACUGGAAUUCCUGGUGUAGCAGUGAAAUGCGUAGAUAUCAGGAGGAACACCGAUGGCGAAGGCAAUCCCCUGGACCUGUACUGACGCUCAUGCACGAAAGCGUGGGGAGCAAACAGG
rnacentral:rRNA from 1 species